UACGUAGGGUGCAAGCGUUAAUCGGAAUUACGGGGCGUAAAGCGCGCGCAGGCGGUCUUGUAAGUUUGUCGUGAAAGCCCCGGGCUCAACCUGGGAAUGGCGAUGAAGACUGCAAGGCUUGAAUCUGGCAGAGGGGGGUAGAAUUCCACGUGUAGCAGUGAAAUGCGUAGAGAUGUGGAGGAACACCGAUGGCGAAGGCAGCCCCCUGGGUCAAGAUUGACGCUCAUGCACGAAAGCGUGGGGAGCAAACAGG
rnacentral:rRNA from 1 species